CUUAGUGAUAGGUAGCGGAGAAAAGCAACUUACAUCACAGUGACAGUGUCAAGAUGAAGGAACACAAAAAUCAAACUUCAAACAGGAAGAGACACAGCAGGACAGGCACAGAAAGAGUGGACAACUCUACAAGAAUCAGCCAGGGGGAAAAACAGGGAAAAGAAAAGAGUGAAGUCGCAAAGCUCAGGUGUGCGCAUUGAGGGAAGGACUGACUCAGGACUUGGAGGAAACAACAAAUUAAAAACAGACCUGAAUCUAGAAGAUAUUGCAGUAUUUCUAUGGUCUGCAUGAAGAACAUGAAAUCCACAAAGAAAAAGAGGCAAAGCUGCAGCUUUUACUAUAUCUGG
ensembl:lncRNA